rnacentral:rRNA from 1 species
GAUGAACGCUGGCGGCGUGCCUAAUACAUGCAAGUCGAGCGAACAGACGAGGAGCUUGCUCCUCUGACGUUAGCGGCGGACGGGUGAGUAACACGUGGAUAACCUACCUAUAAGACUGGGAUAACUUCGGGAAACCGGAGCUAAUACCGGAUAAUAUAUUGAAUCGCAUGGUUCAAUAGUGAAAGACGGUUUUGCUGUCACUUAUAGAUGGAUCCGCGCCGCAUUAGCUAGUUGGUAAGGUAACGGCUUACCAAGGCAACGAUGCGUAGCCGACCUGAGAGGGUGUUCGGCCACACUGGAACUGAGACACGGUCCAGACUACUACGGGGAGCAGCAGUAGGGAAUCUUCCGCAAUGGGCGAAAGCCUGACGGAGCAACGCCGCGUGAAUGAUGAAGGUCUUCGGAUCGUAAAACCCUGUUAUUAGGGAAGAACAAAUGUGUAAGUAACUAUGCACGUCUUGACGGUACCUAAUCAGAAAGCCACGGCUAACUACGUG